GGCUUUGAUAGCCAGGCCCGUGUCACCUUGGACUCCAAAGCUAUUCAAGCCCAGGCCCAAGCUUGGUCAAGUGCUGCAGCCCACGCUCCUAAUGUUACUGAAGUGCACCAAACUAAUACAGAGGGAAUAGAAGAUGAUGCAAAGAAGGAAGAACAACUGAGAGAAGCCACGCGUGGGAAGAGAACAUGCACACCCCGAGAUGGAUGAAGGAUUUCAUGAUGGCCGAGUCGCGUUGAGCGUUGUGGGAUUGAGCAUAACCAAAUUUUGUUACACAUUUUUUAUUGCAUUUUGCCUUGUUUUUCUAGCAUAUAAAUAUCAAUUGCUUUCACAGAGCUCGCCAUGAAGAACGACGAGUUGGCUAAACUGUUGAAGUCUAUGGAAGCCAAUUUCAAGUUUCACUCUGAAGCUCAGAUGGAGAAAAUCACUUCGUUAUUGGACUAACAUCGUGCGUCUACGGACGAACGUCUGGGUCAGCUAUUCUUCGCACCUCAUCAGGGAGCAUCGGCAUCGAAGGUUUUGGGUUCGACUCCGAGCGUCGAAGUGGAGCAGUGCCCAAUUGCUACGCAAUGAGUUGGGGGUACUAAAUCAGUCCAUUCCGGUGCACAAAGCAAUUUGGGAUCGAGCUUUACUACAAAGUCGAUUGGGUCCUAUCAACACUUGCCUGUCAAACAACUCUCACCUGCUGAACUUAAAGAGAGGCGCAAUAAGGGAUUAUGCUUCACUUGUGAUGAGAAAUUUAACUAUGGGCGUAAGUGCAAGAACCGUGUGCUUUUACUGUGUGGCCAAGAGUGCGAAGAGGAUGGGAGUGACGACGUGGAUGAAAAAGAUGAGGAAUUGGCAGAGGAGGUCAACCUCCAUGCUCUGUCUAAUUCAACGCUCAACAUGGUUCUCAGUCCUUAGAAGUGUUAAUCGACAUCCAUGAAUCCUUGGCUGAGACGUUGCAAUUGCCCUGUGAGUCUACUAAGGCAUUCAAAGUGUAUAUGGGAAAUGGUUAGUUCUUAACAUGUUCCAAGUUUUGUAAGGAUGUGGAACUUAUUUUAAAGGGGCACAUGUUUCGUGUGGAUCUGUAUGUAUUGCCGAUUUGAGGCCUUGACAUUGUACUCGGAAAGCAAUGGUUGCAAACUCUCGGCCCAUGCAGUCACGACCAUCAGGCUUUGACUAUGGAAUUCACGUGUGGUGGACAAACCGUUAAGCUUGAUGCCAAUUCCGCUUGGAAAGCAAAGCAGAUUUCCUUCACUCAACUCACGUCGAUGAUGCAUGAAGGUGAAGUUAGUUGGCUGUGGCAGAUGAACCCCAUUCCAGCCAUUACUUCUAACAAUGAAUUUGAGUUGGCACAACUAGAGGAAGACUUGGGCAUCUCUAAGCUCAUUCCUACUUUGGUUCCUGAGUCACAACAGUUAAUCCAGCAGUAUAAGGCUGUUUUUGAGACCCCAUGAUAGUUACCUCCGAUUUGUACUAUUGACCAUCACAUUUUUUUAUCGCCCGACUCUAGCCCUAUCAAUAUGCGCCCAUAUAGAUACCCUGAUUUCCAAAAGGAUAUCAUUGGGAAGUUGGUUCAAGAAAUGACUGAGGCGGGAUUCAUUCGUCAUAGCACGAGCCCCUACUCUUCCCCCAUUUUACUAGUUAAAAAGAAGGAUUGCACUUGGCAAUUUUGCGUGGUCUACCGCGCAUUAAAUGGGAUCACUAUCAAGGAUCGAUUUCCCAUUCUAACAAUUGACAAGUUACUUGAUGAACUCGGUGCUGCCACUGUUUUCUCUAAGCUAGACUUGCGUGCCGGAUAUCAUCAAAUUCGAAUGGAUAGUCGAGAUUUGUACAAGACAGCCUAUCGUACACACGAGAGACACUACGAAUUUCUUGUGAUGCCGUUUGGGCUCACCAAUGCUCCCGCCACCUUCCAGGUAACGAUGAAUCAGAUUUUUAAACCUUAUUUGAGGUAGUUUGUCAUAGUAUUUUUUGACGACAUUCUUGUGUACAACAACUCCAUAUCCGACCACCUCAAGCACUUGCGUUUGAUAUGCCAAUUGAUGGAACAACACCAGUUUUUUGCUAAGGCUAGCAAGUGUUCCUUAUUUCAGACGUUUAUUGAUUAUUUGGGGCAUAUUGUGUCUCGAAAGGGUGUGGCAGCAGACCCCUCAAAAAUCUCAGCCAUGGUUGAAUGACCUCAACCUCAGAAUAUCAAAAAGCUCCGUGGUUUUCUCGGCUUAACUAGUUAUUAUAGAAGAUUUGUGGCUCAUUAUGCAUCUAUCGCUGCCCCUCUCACGGAAUUACUUAGGAGAGACGGGUUCGUUUGGACAGCCGCUGCUACGCUUGCCUUUAAACAAUUGAAGCAAGCCAUGAUUUCUACACCUGUAUUACAGCUACCUGACUUUUCUAUUACUUUUGUCAUAGAGACUGAUGCUUCUAACGUGGGCUUUGGUGGAGUUUUGUUGCAGGAAGGUCAUCCCAUUACUUAUUUCAGUAAGAAAUUGGGCCUGAGAUUGCUUGGGGCAUCCACUUAUGACCGAGAGUUUAGAGCUGUGGUGGAAGCAGUGACUAGAUGAAGACAGUAUUUACUUGGGCGUUCCUUCAUUAUUAAAAUUGAUCACAAAAGUCUCAAGGAGAUCCUUACUCAGGUUAUUCAAACUCCAUAACAAAAACAUUGUUUGAGAAAAUUGUUGGGUUUUCAGUUCUCUAUUGAGUACAAAGCAGGCAAAGAGAACUCUGUGGCAGAUGCCUUAUCCCGAAAAAGAUGAGUUACAGGCCACACAUCUUCAUGCGGAAAUAUCCGGUUCACAUUUAAUUUCUUCGAUGAAUUGCGUCGAGAGAAUGAGACUUGUGCUGAUUUGGUCGCCUUGCAUCAGAAACUCAGCAGUAAACAUCUUUCGAGUUCGCCAUAUACUUGUCGUGACGGGCUGUUGCUCCAACAAAACAUGUUCGUUAUCAGUGAUUCCUCAUCCCUUAAGCUGCCUUUAUUACAAGAGUUUCAUGCUUCGCCUAUGGGUGGACAUGCUAGAAUAGAACGUACCCUUUUACGCCUUAGUGCCAAUUUCUUUUGGACUGGAAUGAGACAUGAUGUACAGGCGUUUGUUGCUUCUUGUUUCACUUGUCAAACGAUUAAGUAUUCUACUGCUGCCCCUAUGGCUUACUUCAAUCGUUAGAGUUACCAGAACGAGUUUGGAAGGAUUGAGCAAUGGAUUUUAUAGUGGGUCUACCUAAUUCGCACGGAUUCACCAUGAUUUUGGUGGUUGUGGAUCGUUUCACUAAGUACAACCAUUUUGGAGCAUUGCCAACUCACUAUACGACCACCAAGGUCGCUGAACUUUUUUCAACAAUGGCAUUCGUCUCCACGGUUUUCCUCACUCUAUUGUGUCUGACUGUGACCCUAUCUUCACUAGCAACUUUUGGCGAAAGCUUUUCGAGCUCAUGGGCACUCGUCUUAAAAUGAGCACGUCUUACCACCCACAAAUGGAUGGUAAUCUGAGGUGACCAAUAGGUAUUUGGAGCAAUAUCUCAGGGCCUUUACCACUGAAAAUCCAAAGCAAUGGAGCCAAUUUUUGAGGUGGGUUGAGUACCAUUACAUUACGAGUCACCAUUCGUCAAUCGGUAUGACUCCGUUUCAGGCCGUGUAUGGCAGGCCUCCUCCUUCCAUUCCCAUGUAUACACGGGUUAGCACCUCUGUUUAGGCCGUAGAGGAUGAAUUGCUUACUAGGGACGCUUUACUGUCUCAGCUGAAAUUGAAUUUGCAGCGAGCUCAAAACCGAAUGUGUCAACAAGCUAACAAGAAGAGACGUCACAUUGAGUUCGCGAUAGGGGAUCUCGUUCUUGUCAAGUUACAGCCGCAUAGGUAGACCACAGUGGCUCAUCGUCUGAAAGCUAAGUUAUGUUGCAGGUAUUUCAGACUGUUCUUCGUGGUGGCACGUGUUGGCCCAAUUGCGUGUACACUUAAGUUGCCUCAACACAGUCGCUUUCACCCCACUUUUCAUGUCUCGUUACUCAAGCCUUUUAUUGGACAGCAACUCGUGAAGCAUUAUCCAUUACCCGAAUUACAACGAUGACACCAACCAUUGCUGUUACCUACUGCCAUACUCUCCAGUCGCACUGUGCAGUGAGGCACGAAGACAAUUCCAUAGGUUCUGGUUCAGUGGUCUCACAGUCUAUUGGAGGAUGCCACUUGGGAGGACUUUGCUCCAUUUUGUAAAUUGUAUGAAUUGGAAGACCUUGAGGACAAUGUCAGUUUUGAGGGGGAGAGUAAUGAUAGCCAGGCCUGUGUCACCUUGGACUCCAAAGCUAUUCAAGCCCGGGUCCAAGCUUGGUCAAGUGCUGCAGCCCACACUCCUAAUGUUACUGAAGUGCACCAAACUAAUACAGAGGGAAUAGAAGAUGAUGCAAAGAAGGAAGAACAACUGAGAGAAGCCAUGCGUGGGAAGAGAACACGCGCACCCCCGAGAUGGAUGAAGGAUUUCGUGAUGGUCGAGUUGCGUUGAGCGUUGUGGGAUUGAGCAUAACUGAAUCCUGUUACACAUUUGUUAUUGCAUUUUGCCUUGUUUUUCUAGCAUAUAAAUAUCAAUGUAAGCUUGUAUUGACUUUUAUCAUGAAUAGAGUAAUUUGAGGAAGAAAUUUGUACUGUCUCGAAGA